AUUGAACGCUGGCGGCAGGCCUAACACAUGCAAGUCGAGCGGAUGAAGGGAGCUUGCUCCUGGAUUCCGCGGCGGACGGGUGAGUAAUGCCUAGGAAUCUGCCUGGUAGUGGGGGAUAACGUCCGGAAACGGGCGCUAAUACCGCAUACGUCCUGCGGGAGAAAGUGGGGGAUCUUCGGACCUCACGCUAUCAGAUGAGCCUAGGUCGGAUUAGCUAGUUGGUGGGGUAAAGGCCUACCAAGGCGACGAUCCGUAACUGGUCUGAGAGGAGGAUCAGUUACACUGGAACGUGGACACGGUCCAGACUCCUAAGGGAGGCAGCAGUGGGGAAUAUUGGACAAUGGGCGAAAGCCUGAUCCAGCCAUGCCGCGUGUGAGAAGAAGGUCUUCGGAUUGUAAAGCACUUUAAGUUGGGAGGAAGGGCAGUAAGUUAAUACCUUGCUGGUUUGACGUUACCAACAGAAUAAGCACCGGCUAACUUCGUG
rnacentral:rRNA from 1 species